rnacentral:rRNA from 1 species
UACGGAGGGAGCUAGCGUUGUUCGGAAUUACUGGGCGUAAAGCGCACGUAGGCGGCUACUCAAGUCAGAGGUGAAAGCCCGGGGCUCAACUCCGGAAUUGCCUUUAAGACUGCAUCGCUAGAAUUGUGGAGAGGUAAGUGGAAUUCCGAGUGUAGAGGUGAAAUUCGUAGAUAUUCGGAAGAACACCAGUGGCGAAGGCGACUUACUGGACACAUAUUGACGCUGAGGUGCGAAAGCGUGGGGAGCAAACAGG